rnacentral:lncRNA from 1 species
AGGGAAACCAACAUGCAAUGAACUAUGAAGAUUAGUUUGCAUCGGUAGAUUGGGCUGCCCGAGUUGAAUGUUUGUUCCGAUGAGGCCUAUAUUCGACGCUGGAUGAUUAUUUAAAUAAACGUCAUUUGUUUUUACUUCGUAAUUAUGUUGCACCGGAGUGGGACUCGUUACAGCUUUCUGCGAUGUUAAACUCGUGCUAAUAGUAGCAAGAUCAAAAUUUGAAUCUAACCAUGUGGAUUGAUUUUAUAAGUAGCAUCAGUUGUUUGUUGACGUGAAUUUUCUUCUAUAUUCACUUCAUUGUUGAAAGGCUUAUCCAUGGGACUCAGAUUAGGCGCAGGAAUCGUAUGAAUUGGUCCCUUAUCAUCAUCGACACCACCUCUAUGAGUCGGUGGCAAAACAGCAGCUUCCGGUCUGUAUUCAGGACUAUAUUCCGGCAUUUUAUUUACGAUGGCACAUUGAACAUCGGAGGUCGACGAAUUCUGGAAUAAAGGAUAGAUCGAGAAAAUUUCACGUUCGAUGAAAAAUGUAUUUUUUCUAUAUAUAUAUUCUCAAAGAUUCACCUAUAAUUCGACGGUUUGUGAGCUAUUCGUUUCAAUGGGAAAUUUCCAUUGAUAUGCAUUGUAUUUCCCACCGAAAUUCGAUGAGUAAUUGGCCAUGAUUUUUUGAACAUCAAUUUAGGAGGCUGUGGGGGAGGCAACGGAGGUCUUCUAAUCUUGUAUCUAGCUUCGACAAGGCAGAUACAUGCGAUCAAUAGCCAACACAUCCAAUUUGUCGUCUGAAAUUAACAGAUUAAUUUGUCUGUUAUGUUUCAAGUGAAGUUUGAAGAAAAAUUGAUAGAUUAAUUACUAUAAUUAAAGUUUUACGACAUAAAUUUCAUUGUUUACUAAAACAUUACAAACGAAUUGUUUUUAUAUUCAACGCCAAUUCGUAAUCUGUUAUGUUGAACUAUCGUAACAAUGACCGUGACAAUGGAUGUUCAUUGUGGCAUUAAGCAAUUAUAGUUUGAGAAACGCUGGCGUUGGCAAUGAAACCGAAGAGAGAAGUGCUGUGAGUUGUUAGCGGGUAAAGUGGGACGGUGUGCUACAUCGAUGGUAGGAAAAGCGAGGGUAGUAAGAAGCCAGGUGAGGAGCGAGGUCGAAAAGAAAAUAGUCGAACCUGGAAAUAAUGAUCCGGCACCGACGGAUUGAGAUGAUGACCGCGGAUGCAACAAGUUGUAUCGUAACGAUUAUGGUUCGUUUUCGCUCGAAUUGCAUUUCCGAUUUAUCACCUGAUAACUUGUUUGUUUUCACUGAGAGGAAAAAAUGGAAAGCGAUAAAAGAAAAAUAAGAAAAAAAAAAAAAAGAAAAUAUAAAAAUAUACCGGAAGUUAUGAUCACAAAUAAUCGAAUAUGAAUUGACGCGUGCAAUGAUUGGACGUUGAGGAAGCACUGCGUGUUCUGCACACAAUUAGGUCAUUGUCCUUCAUUUAUACUCGCAACCGGCGAAUGUAUCAUCGAAGGCCGAAACGUUGUUCCUCCUACUCUGAUGGAUAACAGCUGCUUCAAAACGCGGAAUGUAACCGGGAAAAGUCAUAGAUUCCACAAAAUUCAUAAAAAUUCCAAAUUCUAUGAUUCUUCAACGCAAAGUAUCAAGCAAAUUUAUUAAAAUUAAUAAAAUUAAUUGUAUAUUACACGUAAAUAGAUAUCUUUUCAUCUUUUAUCUUCUCUCUUCUAAAUAUUUUCCAACAGGUAAAGUUGAUGGUAAAGUAGAUACAAAAAUAAAUCAAUAGAUUAUCAUUGAUAUUAACAUUUUGAUUUGUUAAAAAUUCUUUAAUUUUUAAAAAUUUUGUCUAAUUUUUAAAUUUUUUAUAAAAGUUUUUUUUUAGUUUACUUUCUUUUCUCCUAUACUUCCUCCGAGUUAAAGAAGUAAAGUCAUGUAUAGUGAACGUCUUCCAGAAACGGUACUUUGACAAAGACGCCUUUAGAGAAAAGAAAAGAUAACGCGAAGUCUAUUUCGAUGCGAUCUUACAUCAAUUUCAAACCAAAGUCAAUCCGAAAAGGAAUUCGAUGACAGGAAAGUCGAUUUGCGAUUGUAUCAAAGGCCCUUUGCGACUCGACAGAUGGACAGAACGAUCGAAGACCGGUCAAACGCCGUUUCUCUCCAUAUCCUGCUACUGGAUUCCCUCGUGAGAAUAUACCUGUGUGCGUGGAUACGCACGGACCAACAUGUGUGAUCCAGUGACCCACUAUAUUCAUCGGUGGCUACAAUAAUCCCAAGAAGAUUCGUCCAUGCAUGAUUGAAUCCAUCCAUGAAAUUUCUUAGUCUUCUUCCUUUGUAACGAGGCGAAAGCCGCAACACGGACACAUAUAUACAUAAAGCGUUAUGUAAUGACGCAUUUGAACCUUAUCAGAAAGGAAUUGAACAAGAGCAAAAGUGGAAUCGAUUUAAGAUUUUGAAAAUCGGAAGGAGGAAAAAGAAGAAAGGAAUGAGAUCGUUAUUCUCGCGGAAGAGAAUAGAAUUGUUGAAGAAAAAAAAAAACUUAUCGUUGAAAUGUGAAAUUUAAGAAAGAAGCAAUCAUGAUAAGCAAGGGAAAGUUCACAGAGACGGUAUCAUGAAAUUAAGUAUCCAAGUUAAGAAAAAAUAUACAAACAAAGUUUAAAUUAAAAAAGGACUUACUAAUUGGUGGGGGAGGAUGAUCGUACAAAUACGUGGGAUGGGGCGGCUCCGUACGAGGUUGCACGGCACUCUUAGCUAUAUUUCGACCCAAUGUAGUGAUCACGUCCCCAGUUUUACUAAUUAUUUUUCCCUUUGAAGAGACAAGGUUUUCUUGGGAUAAAUGGAAUUUGGAAGGAGAUAAUUUUGAUGUUAAUUUAUGAAAGGAUAUUUUUUUAUCAGUUCGAUAACAAAGGUAUAACAUAUUGGCAAGAUUUAUAAAUCAGUGAAGCAUGGAAUAUAGGAACGAACGAAUGCAACAAGUGGAGCGGUUCUUGGUGAAAGUCAUAUGAGGAUUCCGUUUUAGAUGUCCAUGUUUGCGACCAUCACGAAGAAUCAACGAUCUUGACAGGAUUACUGAUUUUAUAAGUGAGGAGAAAAAGGAACGAAGAAAUUGACGAGUAGAAAAGUUUGAAAGGAUAAAAAAUACUAUGGCAUGAAAAUUAUCUAUUCGCAAGUAAAAUUCUAGUAUACAUAAAUAUACGCUAUGCUACGUUUCUCAAAUUUUUAUUAUUUCAAGUUUCACGCGGAAAUCUUUAACGAUUUAAUUGCAAUAAUAAAGAAAUGAUUAAUAUAAAUUUCAACGUUCAUAUAAAAAUAAAAAUCCCAAUAAUGAUUCUUUUAAUCUAAAUAUUAAAAACAGAACAUUUCAUUUAUAAAUUUGCAACGAUAACAAAAAUACAAUGAUAUAUUUCUGUUUGAAUUGAUCACUUAAAGGAAUUCUCUCAGUCGGAUGAAAGUGAUCAAAGCGUCCUUGCUCUUGAAGCUAAUGUCAAUGCUCGACCUAGUUACCGUACGUUCCUCGGUCGUUACGCUUGUCAUGAUUUCUAAAAAUCCAUUGGUCGGUAUAUCAUAGAAAUAUCACUUGUUGUUAUGGAUUUCUCAUCUUUUUAAAAUUAAACUCUUCGAUCAGAAGAGAUGAUUGGAAUGAUUUUCGAUUAUACACUGAGAAACACUUCCGGUUAUACACAAGAUCUAUCAAAAUUAAUAUACAUGUUUCAUCAUCCAUUUCUAGCCAACUUUCUUCUCAAUAGACUUUGCACUAUACUAUUCGAUGGACCACUCGACUCGCGUUUCAUUUCAUCUUAUGAUCAACUUUCACGACAUUUUUGUGAUUCUAUUUGAUCAUUUAUUUGUAAGAAAAAUUUUUUCUAUAUUUUUAUUUUUUUUUCUCAAGCGAUAGAUCUUUUCACUAUCGGAGAAAAGCUUAUGAUCGUAAAAAAGGAGACAUGUCUAAAAAGUUAUGCUUCAAUGUGAAAAGAAAUAUGUGUUUGAAGGAAAGGAUAAUACGAAAGUUUAAAAGACAUUAAGAGCUGAAUAAAUGGAACAAAGGAAUGUAAUUUUUUCCGGACAAACAACCUCUCUUUAAUGAUAAUGAUCCUCGUCCUUUUUUUUACACUUUUACUUUCUAUAGAGUAUGAAGUACGGAUAAAGUCUAAUUUUCUCCAUUGUUAUGUAUAAAUCUUAAAAGGAAUGUACCCACGAGAAUGAAGCAACGUGUUUUACUUUCACACAAACUGAUCUACUCUCGAUCUUAGUACAAGAAAUGAACCGCAAGAAGAUCUAUAUAGAUGAUUUUCUAAUAAUCAUUCGAUCGAUCAACGCUAGAUAUUGAUAUUGCACUAUAAUUAAUGAUAA